rnacentral:ncRNA from 1 species
GGGAUGCAGCACUCCACUUUUCUUAUGGUGCAUCCCGGCAAAUCAAAGGAGGAACAAGUGUCCGCUAUGGCUGGCGGUGCGGCAGUGUGGAGACCUGUCGUAAGGCGUUGCGGAGCAAUCCCGGCGCGAAGCCGUUUUUUGCGGAGGCAAAGCGGUUACAGUCAAAAGAAUAUGGCA